UACGAAGGGUGCAAGCGUUGUCCGGAAUUAUUGGGCGUAAAGAGCUCGUAGGCGGUCUGUCGCGUCUGCUGUGAAAACUCGGGGCUUAACCCCGGGCCUGCAGUGGGUACGGGCAGACUAGAGUGCGGUAGGGGAGACUGGAAUUCCUGGUGUAGCGGUGAAAUGCGCAGAUAUCAGGAGGAACACCGGUGGCGAAGGCGGGUCUCUGGGCCGAUACUGACGCUGAGGAGCGAAAGCGUGGGGAGCGAACAGG
rnacentral:rRNA from 1 species